CCUAGCAUUGUUAGUCCGUAAAAAUGUAUAAAACUUACCUCAACUUAAGGGCAGAUAAUUCAGCUUGCUGUUCGUGAGUUAGUUCGUAUUUGGCUUGAAAUGAAUUCACGAUCGAUCGCUCUAUUUGGAUAAACGAGGCGAAUAUAAGUUAAAUUUUUCAGUUUGAAAUCUUAACGAGCCGAAAAUGAAUUGUGGGUAGCUUGUUUGUGUUCGGCUUAAUAUAGCUCGAGUGUGUAAAAGGCCAAUCCAACAUAAAAGAGAUCAAUAUUUUGUUAAUUUUAAUUAUUAAAUUAAAAUUCUUGUUUUUUUAUAUUUUUGAACUUUUUAGUCAGUAGUAGAGCUGACAAUGUAACUUAUUAUUCGUGAGUCGGCUCGUCUUUGGCUAACAUCGGCUCGUUAGCCAAACACGAGCUAUUUUUCAACUCGAUAUUUUAACGAACUUCCUUGUGUUCGACUAGUUGACAUACGUACCCCAACUAUUAUCCAUUUAGAUUUGACUAUCUAAUCUUUAAAAAUAUUAAUUUUACUAUCUAAUAUUUUAAUUUAUUUGAUUUGUGCUAAUUAGUGACUUUUUAACUUCAAAAUUUAAAUGCGUGGUUUAUUUUUACAGAUUUAGUUAAUAUAGUGUAUAUAAUUUACGUAACUAUAAAUUUAUUAAAAUAAAUAAUUAGAUUAAAUUUUAUAUCCGAAAAAUUAUUAAAUCACCAAAAAUAUAUAGACUCCUUAUUUGCGAAAAAAUCUUUAUUGUGACAGUCACGCCACAUGGGUAUACCCAAACUCAAUCUUAUUGUGUCAUGUUCGAAGUGCCGUGAGGCUAGUUUGGCCGAGUCUAACAGUUGAGACCCAUAGGCGUUGUGUCUAUACCGAAUUGAUUCAUUCAUUCUAGGAUAGUUUAAGCUUUCGGGUUUAAUGAUUAGCGUCAACGAUCCGACAAGUUGUAUCAGAAACAGAGCUCACGGAAGAUUCGAUAAGUGGCAUCAGAGACAUAGGUCACGAAUUCAAUUCCCGCAUGCUAUAAAUUUAUGCAGGUGUUAGAGAGGGAAUUGUUAGCUAAGCGGGAGGCUAGAUUAGGCCGAGUGAUGUUCAAAGUGACACGAGGUUGAUCGGACCGAAUCAUAAUCGAGACUGCAGGUACUGUGUUUGUACGCUUUAAGUGAAUUAAUUACGUAUUUCUAACAACUCGAGCUUUUAAAUUAAAAUUUUUACUUUUGAGGUUUAAAAUCUUAUUUUUCCUUCUCACUACGGCAAAACUUUUUCGCCAAACAUCUUAUCAG
rnacentral:lncRNA from 1 species